CUUGUCUGUGGGGACAGAAUGGAGAGCACCUUGCUCUGUUUGCUACUAGUGCUGAGUACACACAUCUACUCUGGACACUCUGAAGAUGAUGAUGGACAGGCAAAGGCUGAUCUGACCAUACACCCCAACUCAUCCCAGAUAUUCAGUGGAGAGUCUGUGACUCUCAGAUGUAACAUACAGAGGUGAGAAGUCACUGACUGGGAAUACACAUGGCGCAAGGAUGGUGUAGACUCUCUCAGUAGGGAACAUGAAUAUGAGAUCAGUGAGGUUAAGAUGUCAGACAGUGGUGACUACUGGUGUUUCGGUCUACAUAUUGAACAUAAGAAGUUUUCUGA